UCCUGCUAUUCUCGAAUCACACAUUAAUAACGAUCGUCCGAUACUUUAUUCAGCACUCCGAUAUUACAGAUAAUAUAUCUCACACGGGUAAAACGUAAACCGCGCGCGAGAAUUUCACUUGGCGCGACCGUUACGUUUGGAAAAAUACGUUAAAAGUACGGCACGUCAAGAUACACUGAACAGUAUCAAUUAGCUCCCAGAGUUUUGUAUCUUUGUAUGAUUGCGCGACGACUAGUUUCAUUAUUGGCACGAUCGACAUUCUACCGAACGGAUUGCGUAUCCCCUCGAGCGAAUACACGCACACGAAAACUUUGCUCGGAACGAAAAUCAACAUGGCGCGAAAGUGCCGUGACGUCACGUAACUUCGUAGAAACGCAGGUCGGGAAAACCGUUUAAAUAAAAAUUACGCGCCGAGACAACGUUUGCUAGCACGACGGUACUCUCAAUACAACACCGUACCUGCACAACACCGGACAAUUCAGUUCUGAACACGCGAGACACGCAGAGAUACGCACGGAGUCGACAGAGCGUCCGACCAACGCUGGAGUGGCGUACGUACUGGAGCGCGGAGCAACGAGGCAACAUGGCGGCAGCGACGCAGGCGCGGCGAGUCAACCGCCUAGCGACGCCGAGUGGCGCCGACUAACGCCGAGUACCGCCGAUUCUGCCUGUCUGCCUGCCAGCGGUCACGUACGCCGUUACCUCGCGUUCCAGCGCCGCUCAAACGUUCUGGUGACUCCGUGCAUGUCUCGCGUGUUUAGAUUCGAAUUGUGCACAAGUACAGUGUUGUGUUGAGUGCUAGCAAACGAUACUCCGUUCGUUGUAUCUCGGCGCGUAUAAAUUGGUAUUAGAGGAUGUAAUAAUUGAAAAACUAUCUCCAAUUUGCAAGGAUAUAUUAAGAUUAACUGGAGAACUUGGACGAGAUUUUGAAAAAAGGUGCUUAAAAAAGCUCGUAACAAACUGUUGGACAAAAAUUGAAAAAAGUUUUACGUAACAAUAAUAUGCAGAAUGUGAAAAACAUAAUAUUGCAGAAAUUAUGUAGAACAAUCAUUAUUAAUAAAUUAUUUGUAAAAAUA